rnacentral:rRNA from 1 species
CACUCCUACGGGAGGCAGCAGUGGGGAAUCUUGCGCAAUGGGCGAAAGCCUGACGCAGCCAUGCCGCGUGAAUGAUGAAGGUCUUAGGAUUGUAAAAUUCUUUCACCGGGGACGAUAAUGACGGUACCCGGAGAAGAAGCCCCGGCUAACUUCGUGCCAGCAGCCGCGGUAAUACGAAGGGGGCUAGCGUUGCUCGGAAUUACUGGGCGUAAAGGGAGCGUAGGCGGACAUUUAAGUCAGGGGUGAAAUCCCGGGGCUCAACCUCGGAAUUGCCUUUGAUACUGGGUGUCUUGAGUAUGAGAGAGGUGUGUGGAACUCCGAGUGUAGAGGUGAAAUUCGUAGAUAUUCGGAAGAACACCAGUGGCGAAGGCGACACACUGGCUCAUUACUGACGCGGAGGCUCGAAAGCGUGGGGAGCAAACAGGAUUAGAAACCCCGGUAGUCCCAUGA